UACGUAGGGACCGAGCGUUGUCCGGAUUUAUUGGGCGUAAAGAGCUCGUAGGCGGCACUGUAAGUCAGAAGUGAAAACAUUGGGCUCAACCCAGUGUUGCUUUGAUACUGCAGAGCUUGAGUAUGUCAGGGGAAAAGGGAAUUCCACGUGUAGCGGUGAAAUGCGCAGAUAUGUGGAGGAACACCAGUGGCGAAGGCGCUUUUCUGGGACAUCACUGACGCUGAGGAGCGAAAGCGUGGGUAGCGAACAGG
rnacentral:rRNA from 1 species